UACAGAGGGGGCAAGCGUUGUUCGGAAUUACUGGGCGUAAAGGGCGCGUAGGCGGCCUUCUAAGUCGAACGUGAAAUCCCCGGGCUCAACCCGGGAACUGCGUCCGAUACUGGAAGGCUUGAAUCCGGGAGAGGGAUGCGGAAUUCCAGGUGUAGCGGUGAAAUUCGUAGAUAUUCGGAAGAACACCAGUGGCGAAGGCGGCUCACUGGACUGGUAUUGACGCUGAGGUGCGAAAGCGUGGGGAGCAAACAGG
rnacentral:rRNA from 1 species